AUUUAAUGAUGAGGGUAUCUUCGUAUUAGUUCUUUAAAUCUUUCCCACGCCUUAUACAAGGAUUCAUCAUCAAUCUAUUUGAAGGUAGUAAUCUCAUUCUGCAACU
rnacentral:snoRNA from 1 species